CUCCUCUCAGGCUGGCACCUGGAGAGUUUCCAGUACUCUACCAGGCUCCGCUACAGGAGGGAGAGUCAAGCAGAGGCCUACCCAUUCCAUUCCUAGCUUGGGCAAUGGCUAGUGAGUGGAAGGCAAUCUGCCACAAGU